GAAUCACAGCGUUGGACUCAAGCCCUAUCCGUGAUCUUUGUCCUACUGAACAUUGUGUGAUGCCAGCGAGGAAGAGAUGCGUCACUCUACAGUUCGUAGAUGCUCUGAAGAAGUUCUCCUCAGAAAAAGAAAAAGUGACAGUGGAUGACAGAUGAGUGAGGAAGACCAACAGAUGGCAGGUCUUCUCUUCUCUGAUGACGAGUUUACUGGCUCGAGGGCGGGACAACCUGUCACUCACAUGACAUCACAGCAAUAGCAAACCACAACCACCCAAUCAAUUCCCCAUGGACAAAAUCAAGUCCCGCCCUAAAUUUUUUCUUGUUCGAGAAGCCGUUUCACUCGGAUAUACAUCA